rnacentral:rRNA from 1 species
UACGGAGGGUGCGAGCGUUGUCCGGAAUCACUGGGCGUAAAGGGCGCGUAGGCGGCGCGGGUAGUCGUCGGUGAAAGCUCAGGCUCAACCCUGAGUCGGCCGGUGAUACUCCCGUGCUCGAGCACUGUAGAGGCAGGUGGAAUUCCCGGUGUAGCGGUGAAAUGCGUAGAGAAUCGGGAGGAACACCAGCGGCGAAGGCGGCUUACUGGACAGUUACUGACACUCAACUACGAA